AACCGCCCGGGAGAGCAGCUCCCAGUAUAACGCGGCUGCUGGGGUGGGGAAGAGAGGGAGCAACGUUCCUCAUCCUUUUUAGCGCCUAUUAGAUUACCGUAAUUUACACAUCUAGUGUCAGAGGGCCCCCAAAAAUAUUGCAUGCAAAACAGUAUUUGUAGCUUUAACAUAUGCAAAACAGGAAGGGCUUCCUAAAAUGAAACGCAUUAAGGAAAGGAGCCCCUCCCAUUUCACAGCUAAGAGCUCUCACCUAAAUGCAUAGACAAAGUAGAACAAUUCUCCCGCCCCCGCCCGCCAACUCCAACAACCGCCCGGGUCUGGGAAAAGGUCCUUUGCUUUCGCAGUUCUCCUCAUUGGAGGAGGAGGGGAUCUCGAGGAGCUGAUGUUUCCAGCUAGGCGUUAGAAGCCUCCAGGGCUUGGAAAGCUCUAGAGGAAGGGGGAUGGAAACACUAAACAAGCAAGAGUAUACUAAGCCUGGGGGAUCGAUAUAAGGCGCUGCAAACUGCAAGCAAGCCCUCUGGAUGCACCCACCCUCUAGCAGAAGUGGAGUUCGCUAGAAGGUGGGAAAACUGAAAUAUAGAGGUAAAGGUGGAGAAGAACAUCACGAAAAGACGAACGGAAUGCCAAAGUACAGCUUGCAGGUCAUCUGACUGGAAGGCUUUUGAGACGUCACCAAGUUUAUCCAUUGGCAUCCAAAAUGGGUGUGAAAGAGUGUGAGACAGAAAUGAACAUCUUUCAAAUUUUUAAUUUAAAAAAGGAGCCCCACAUUUUAUUCAGAACCCCUUUAUUGUCUUCAGAGACACCUUAGCACUCUGCAUGAGGUGCUGUGGCUGAGAAAAUUCCACACCGGGACAGCCAAUAUUCCUGUAGAUGAAUGUCAUCACAUUAUUGACAUUAUAUUUUGUCAUUAGUCUCUAGUCUUUCCUGCUUGGUACAACCUACAAGGUCUAGUUUCCUCCUCUUCCUUCCUCUUCCCCACUUUGUAUUUACUUUGCAUGUAUUUACUUAGCUGUGUACCUGUUGUUUUCUCCCAAAAUGUAAGCUCCUUUGAAAGCAGAGGAUGUUUUGUUUUUCCUUAUAUGCAUAGUGCCUAUAAUAUAGUAGAUGAUUAAAUAAAUAUUUGUUGAAUGAGUGGAGACACAAGAGUAGGACUCUACCAGUAUAGAAAUUCAACCAUUUAUACAAACAAAUCUCUUCUGGCUGGAAAAAGUUGUACCCACCCUCCAAAGAUAUUUUAUUCCACCACCAAACCUUUGUGUCCUUCCUCCAGAAGCCAUAUUUCCCAAGAUUUCAUUUACACCCUACUUUAAUCUUUGUUAAAGAAGUAAUGAUCUUUCCUUCAUUUCCAAAUUUCAUGUGCAAGCAUUUGGUAUGGACCAAGGAAAAGGAGAUUGGCUAGGUCAUUGGGGUUUACCUAAGGGAGGGCUUGACCAGCAGUGAGCAGAGGCUACUUGGAAUUACUAGACACUAGGAUUCCCCAGGAUCCCAAAAUUGACUACUUAUCACAAGGACAGCAGACAGGAGAUCUUGCUUGUGCUUUCCAACUCCUCUAAGCCCACAGACUGCUGUUUCCAAACUACGAAGGAGCCACAAGUUUGACUAAAAAAUUUUGCAAUGCUGUCAACAAGGCACAUGGUUUAUUGAGAUGGGUAUUCACUCAUUCAUUCAACAAGCAUUUGUUAAUGGCCUACUAUGUGCCAGGCCCUCAGGAUACAAAGACAAGAAAUUAAAUGAUCAAUAAUGAACCAAUAAAUGAAGGUUGGGGAAGGCCCAGUAGAAAAAUGUAAUCCAAGCUAUUUAAAGACAGGUGGUAUAUAAGUAAGCAUGAUGACUUAGUAGAUAGUAAGCUGGCCUCAAUGCCAGUAAGACCAGGGUUCAAUCCUACUUCUAACAUAUAUUGACUGUGCAACCUUGGGCUGCUCCAGGCAGCUCUAUGAGAUGAUAAAUUGCAGAGAAGGGGUUGAUCUGUAUUGGUAGAGGGAGUUGCCUAUACCACUAAAAAGUAUAUGUCUCGUCCCUAUCCCAUUUAAAUGAGAUUGCUCCUUAAGGGUAGGUACUUACCUUUCACAAUGAUAUUCCUCCAGUGACAUUAGAGGACUACAAGUCAUGAAAUAUUAUAGUCUCUGAAGAAUUAAAGUUGAAGGUCACUCGAAGUGCAACAAAGCUCAUGGUCAAUGUGAGUAGGCCUGAAACACAUUACAAGUGAACAAUUGUGCAAGAGAAAUGGCAUAAAGGUUGUCAUUUGAGAAAUGUAUGACUGGAAAGAAGUUGGGCCAGUCAUGUGAGGAAAGCCAGGGAGAACUGACAGACAGUCUCACUGGUGUCAAUGAAAUGGCAAAAGAUAAAGAGGAAAGCCCCCAGCACAUUCAAUGGACUACUCUACCCAGUGGAGGAUUUCCUGGAGACAUUGACAAGGGUCACACAGGAUGGGCUGAAGCAUUGAACCAUCAGUCAGAGAAUAUCAAAGAUUCCUACAUGUGUAUAAGAACUGAAUUCAAUGUUCUAAAUUAAACUCUGUCAGUUUGAAUCAAAUGGUGGUCCCCAUACUCAAGGGACAGGUUGAUUUGUCUGAAGAGUUUGUGGAUUUCA